AGGGCACCACCAGGAGUGGAGCCUGCGGCUUAAUUUGACUCAACACGGGAAAACUCACCCGGCCCGGACACUGGAAGGAUUGACAGAUUGAGAGCCCUUUCUUGAUUCAGUGGGUGGUGGUGCAUGGCCGUUCUUAGUUGGUGGAGUGAUUUGUCUGGUUAAUUCCGAUAACGAACGAGACUCUAGCCUACUAAAUAGAUCGUCGGCUUACAAACGCCGGCGAGACUUCUUAGAGGGACAGGCGGUGAUUCAACCGCACGAAACAGAGCAAUAACAGGUCUGUGAUGCCCUUAGAUGUCCGGGGCCGCACGCGCGCUACACUGAAGUGAUCAGCGUGCUUUUUCAACCUACUCUGUCAAGAGUGGGGAACCCAAUGAACCUUCUUCGUGAUUGGGAUAGGGGAUUGUAAUUAUUCCCCUUGAACGAGGAAUUCCCAGUAAGCGCGAGUCAUAAGCUCGCGUUGAUUACGUCCCUGCCCUUUGUACACACCGCCCGUCGCUACUACCGAUUGAAUGUUUU
rnacentral:rRNA from 1 species